rnacentral:rRNA from 1 species
AGUGAACGCUGGCGGUAGGCCUAACACAUGCAAGUCGAACGGCAGCACAGUAAGAGCUUGCUCUUACGGGUGGCGAGUGGCGGACGGGUGAGGAAUACAUCGGAAUCUACUUUUUCGUGGGGGAUAACGUAGGGAAACUUACGCUAUUACCGAAUACGCCCUACGGGUGAAAGCAGGGGACCUUCGGCCCUUGGCCGAUUGAUUGAGCCGAUGUCGGAUUAGCUAGUUGGCGGGGUAAAGGCCCACCAAGGCGACGAUCCGUAGCUGGUCUGAGAGGAUGAUCAGCCACACUGGAACUGAGACACGGUCCAGACUCCUACGGGAGGCAGCAGUGGGGAAUAUUGGACAAUGGGCGCAAGCCUGAUCCAGCCAUACCGCGUGGGUGAAGAAGGCCUUCGGGUUGUAAAGCCCUUUUGUUGGGAAAGAAAAGCAGCAGGUUAAUACCCCGCUGUUCUGACGGUACCCAAAGAAUAAGCACCGGCUAACUUCGUG